GCUAGUAAUCGCGGAUCAGCAUGCCGCGGUGAAUACGUUCCCGGGCCUUGUACACACCGCCCGUCACACCAUGAGAGUCGAUAACACCCGAAGCCUGUAGUCUAACCAUAUGGGGGACGCAGUCGAAGGUGGGAUUGAUAAUUAGGGUGAAGUCGUAACAAGGUACC
rnacentral:rRNA from 1 species